GCUGAAUCCAGUCUUAGACUUGAUGUGGAGCAGAGACUGGUCACGGCAGGCUUUCUGGAGUUGAGCCAGGUGAAGAAUAAGAGAAGAAGGAGAAAAGAUAGGCGGGAGCUCUUCCUUGACGUGAAACAGGGGCUGAGGAGACAUGAGAGAGAGAAGCACCACAGACUGACAUCAACCUGAGGCCUUCUGAUGCUAAGAACAUCACAACUUCCCUGGUGGGCAACUGGGUUCAUCUGUCCACUGUCUGCCAUGAUCGGCAGAUAUCAACAAACCACUUGCAAAGUCCAAAGAACAAAUAUGCCAGCAGUUGCCGAUAUGCCCGUGCUCCACAGAUCCAAUAUAGGCCAGAGGGUGCCUUUCAAGAAGCUGGAGCCUCUAGCUGAUGCCAAGAGUGGCUUAGAGUAGAGAACCAAGAGAAAGGUUUGGAUCUGGAGGAAAGGAAUGGCAGCAGUUUUCCAGGCUAGCUGGCUUCACAACCCGAUGGCUCUCUUCUGUUCCGCUGCCACAGACACAGACUGUCUGCCUCCUGAGAAUUUGAAAUUUGGCCAACCUGCCCCCUCUGCUUCUCUGAACCAAACUGGGGCCAGGAGGACUUCUGACCCAAGUGCUGAUCACCCCUCUUCCUACAGCGCACCGUGCACCCUCUGCUCAGGAAAUGCCUUUGGUGUGUUGCUGACGUCUGUGCCUGCUGCAUCUCUCACCGCCCUGCACUUCACCCUAUCCCACACAGGUUUCGCCUGAUCUCAGCUGCUUUGGGCAGACCAUCCAGUGCUGCAAGGUUCUGAUGAUCAUGGAGUAGCAAAACAGCAUGAUCCCGAAGGGGAUCACCAAUCCGAGAAUGUUGAUUUCCAGGGAGCUGAUAACCUUCCAGGUCGUGGAGUUGAGCGAGUACUUGGUUUUGCAGCUCCUCAAGGCAGGUCUGGGCCCAACCUGAAGAAGCUAAUGAGGGGAAGAGCAAAGGAGAUUUUUGUGAGAACAAAAAUAAACCAAAGUGUUGCUAAAUG